rnacentral:rRNA from 1 species
AUGAUCGAUCUUCCAGUCGGCCGUGCCGGGUAUCCUCUUGAGCACCUGCCGGAACGGCUGUUGCAGGAACGGCACGAGGUUGCCCACUAUGAUAGACAGCGACCCGGACAGGUCCAUCUUGAGCGACGUGGUCGCGUGCAGGUGCAUUUUCACGAACUCCUCCGACACCUUCACGGCCGUUCCGCCGUUCUUGACGCCAGCGCCAGCCUUGCCAUCAAUGUCUGUCGACACCGGCUCUCCGGACAGGCCAAAGUCUGCGCCGAAGGCCGCGUGCCCGAUGACGUCGGUGAAGAGGGUCAAAGCCAGCUUUGA